rnacentral:rRNA from 1 species
GUGCGAAAGCGUGGGGAGCAAACAGGAUUAGAUACCCUGGUAGUCCACGCCGUAAACGAUGUCUACUUGGAGGUUGUGCCCUUGAGGCGUGGCUUCCGGAGCUAACGCGUUAAGUAGACCGCCUGGGGAGUACGGCCGCAAGGUUAAAACUCAAAUGAAUUGACGGGGGCCCGCACAAGCGGUGGAGCAUGUGGUUUAAUUCGAUGCAACGCGAAGAACCUUACCUGGUCUUGACAUCCACAGAACUUUCCAGAGAUGGAUUGGUGCCUUCGGGAACUGUGAGACAGGUGCUGCAUGGCUGUCGUCAGCUCGUGUUGUGAAAUGUUGGGUUAAGUCCCGCAACGAGCGCAAC